GCCGACUUGAGGUCCACGAGGACGGACCGCUUGUUGCGGUUGGUGACGUCGCGGCCCGGUUCGAUGCCGAGGGGCGGCACC
rnacentral:tRNA from 1 species